rnacentral:rRNA from 1 species
GAUGAACGCUGGCGGCGUGCCUAAUACAUGCAAGUCGAGCGAACGGACGAGAAGCUUGCUUCUCUGAUGUUAGCGGCGGACGGGUGAGUAACACGUGGAUAACCUACCUAUAAGACUGGGAUAAUUUCGGGAAACCGGAGCUAAUACCGGAUAAUAUUUUGAACCGCAUGGUUCAAAAGUGAAAGACGGUCUUGCUGUCACUUAUAGAUGGAUCCGCGCUGCAUUAGCUAGUUGGUAAGGUAACGGCUUACCAAGGCAACGAUGCGUAGCCGACCUGAGAGGGUGAUCGGCCACACUGGAACUGAGACACGGUCCAGACUCCUACGGGAGGCAGCAGUAGGGAAUCUUCCGCAAUGGGCGAAAGCCUGACGGAGCAACGCCGCGUGAGUGAUGAAGGUCUUCGGAUCGUAAAACUCUGUUAUUAGGGAAGAACAUAUGUGUAAGUAACUGUGGACAUCUUGACGGUACCUAAUCAGAAAGCCACGGCUAACUACGUG